UAGCAGCAUUUCUUUCUUGCUAACUUUUACAAAAUAUGAGAAACAGAUUUAUAUAGAAAUAAGCCAUUUCAGAGCAUUUUCUUCCAUCUUGGCUUAUUUUGUUCAAGGGAGCAACCAGGUGAUAUCACCAUGCCUCUCUACUCUGGCUGUUUGCUUCCCAGCAUCCCUUGCGCAAGCUGGGGGAAGCCCCCAGGUGAUCUAUGAUGUCACUAUGGUUGCUCUCAUUGUAUAGGCGGCUCCAAAAUUUAGCUCAUGGCCAUCUGUUGUUUUCAAUUUUUUCCCUUUAGGAGAGCCAAGUAUUUUUUUUCCUGACGACAUGAAUCUUGAUCAUAUUGGUAAUGUCAUAUUAUGAAUCCCCCAUUUAAAGGAAAAUAAAUAAAAUUGUAGUAGUGCCAAAGAAAAUUCUUUUUAUGAGUUAACGCUUAAAAAUCCCAAAGGCCAUACACCUUUAAUACA